CCUACGGGUGGCUGCAGUGGGGAAUAUUGGACAAUGGGGGCAACCCUGAUCCAGCCAUGCCGCGUGUGUGAAGAAGGCCCUCGGGUUGUAAAGCACUUUCAGUGGGGAAGAACGCCUGGUGGUUAAUACCCAUCAGGAAAGACAUCACUCACAGAAGAAGCACCGGCUAACUCCGUGCCAGCAGCCGCGGUAAUACGGAGGGUGCGAGCGUUAAUCGGAAUUACUGGGCGUAAAGCGCGCGUAGGUGGCUUGAUAAGCCGGUUGUGAAAGCCCCGGGCUCAACCUGGGAACGGCAUCCGGAACUGUCAAGCUAGAGUGCAGGAGAGGAAGGUAGAAUUCCCGGUGUAGCGGUGAAAUGCGUAGAGAUCGGGAGGAAUACCAGUGGCGAAGGCGGCCUUCUGGACUGACACUGACACUGAGGUGCGAAAGCGUGGGUAGCAAACAGGAUUAGAUACCCUGGUAGUC
rnacentral:rRNA from 1 species